CCACCCCAGGCACUUUGCUGCAUGACCUACUGAUUUACUCCAGCACUUUGUGUCUUUUUUUUGUAAAUUGGCAUUUGCAGUUCCGUGUGUCUA